CGCUCCCUCAAUUACUCGACACAAGCUUUGAAGCCUCGAUACAGAACGUCACAUCACUACUUGAUAGCGCAUUAUUUGCUGAUGUGUUUACUGCGCCUAACGACUCGUUAAACUAAGGGAUAAAAUACAUAUCUAUACUUUUGUGUCCCAGCUGAGUAACAGGAGGAGAAGAGUCUGGUGGAGCAGCAGAGGAACAGUUUCAGCCAUUUGGAUUCAGCUCAGCCACUACAGAGGAAACGAUGACUUCAACACAGGAGGACCAACAUGGAGCGAGAAGUCAGCGCUCUCAGGAGGCCG